AAGAAGCAAAGGGGCUCAGCGGGUGUGGCCGGGGAAGCUGCACCCCCAGCCAGGUGACCUCAGGCAGGCACCCCGUCGUGUCCCAGGAGCACUCAUUAGGAAAGAGGGGCUCUGAACCCCUGGCUCUCAAGGUGGUCGUGAAGAUGAUAAUAAGGGAUGGAAAUGAGGGAACAUGUCCUCUUGCUGACAGUAGGUGCCAGUGAAGACUCGGGUCACUCUAUGCUCCCUGGUCCCUGAGCACCAGGACAGGAGAGGGAAGCAGCAGCCGGGAAAACAUGAUGGUGGAGAGGCCAAGGCCAGGGGUCAAGUCCAUGUCCGUGGAGUGAGGGUGGGGUGCUGGUGGCAAGAGCACCCACCACUCAGGUUCCUGUCCUCGUUGAACAAGAGCGCC